UAACCUCAACCUCAAACCUAUUCAAACCCACUUGACAAAUAGUGUUAAACCCCCAUGCCAUGGCCAUGGCGAUGAGAGCAGCAGCGGCGGCGGGACCUGGCGGUCUGAGCCUGAGAGGGCUAUUAUUCUCUACUUUAACUUCCACUUCACCCUUCAUUCCUCCGCCGACCAAUCAAGACCCUCCACCAACCUCUUCGUCUCUGGCACGGCUUAGCAAACGUACUACUACAGAAGGACUUCAAGAUGCCUUUGCAAGGUUUGGUGAUGUGGUCCAUGCUAGUGCUAGAGUGGUGUGGUGACUGAUCAAGUAUCUGGAUAUUCCAAGGGAUUUGGUUUCAUAAGAUAUGCCACAGUAGAAGACGCUGCAAAAGGUAUAAAGGGCAUGGAUGGCAAGUUUUUGGAUGGAUGGGUAAUAUUCACGGAGUAUGCUAGACCAAGACCACAACCUCCUCAGUUCAAGAACAAUGCCGGAUCACCACCUCCUGGAUAUGGGUCUCCAUAUGGUCGUCCAUGAAUUAUUGGUGGGAGAAGCUGGUCAUUUUAAAGAUAUCAGAUUGUUUUGACCGCAAUUGUGCUUACUCUCAGUUCUCUAUUUUGACUUGCCAAGAGCUGAGUCUAGCCUAAUAUGAAUCCGAGCAGAGAUUGAAUUGACAAUAUAGACUUGAAUUGCUGCAUGUUAAGACAUUUUUGUGCAGACUAUUUGCAUCUGCUAUUCAUGAAUAUUCUGUGACAAUUUCUACUAACGAGGCUGUACUAAGACACUUCAAAAUUUGUGCAUCAUAAAUGUAUGUCUUUCUGGGUCCUCUA